AACACAUCUGCACUUUGGAAAGAAUUACAGUGGUGAUGUGAAGACACAGUUGGAAAGCAGCAAAAGUAGGAGGGAAAGAAAUUGGCAUCUCGAAGUAACUUUAGAAGAACAGAAAUCAACUUGGCUGAAUUUCUUGGUUGAAAUCUGGCCCAGCUCUGGUGUGAUCACGUGACUGAGUUCUGGCCAAUGGAGUGGGAGCAGAAAACAAUUCAUGCUACUUUCAGCCAUAAGAACUUCCUUUAGAACCUUCAUUUCUCCUCUUCAAGCUGACCUUGGGAGCGAAGUGUUGAAGAUGGCAGAGCCUCUAUCAUUCUAGAUCUUUGAAGGACUCCAUGGAGCACACUCCUAUUUCCUUCAACCCCCUCUUCUAUCACAUUGUGAUGGGGUAUUACAGGAGUGGGAAAUAAGUCUCUCUUCUGAAUUUCCAUAUGGAUUGCAGCCUUGACAUGGAAAAGUGAAAAUCAAUUUGGAUGC
rnacentral:lncRNA from 10 species